GGUGCAGCAGGCGCGAAAACUUUACACUGCGGGAAACCGCGAUAAGGGGACCCCGAGUGCCAGCACUUAGUGCUGGCUGUCCAGCUGUCUAAAUAACAGUUGUUAGCAAGGGCCGGGCAAGACCGGUGCCAGCCGUUGCGGUAACACCGGCGGCCCGAGUGGUAACCGCUAUUAUUGGGUCUAAAGGGUCUGUAGCCGGCUUGGUUAGUCUCUUGGGAAAUCCGGCAGCUUAACUGUCGGGCUUUCAGGAGAUACUGCCAGGCUCGAGACCGGGAGAGGUGAGAGGUACUUCAUGGGUAGGGGUGAAAUCUUGUAAUCCUUGAAGGACCACCAGCGGCGAAGGCGUCUCACCAGAACGGAUCUGACGGCAAGGGACGAAAGCUAGGGGCACGAACCGGAUUAGAUACCCGGGUAGUCCUAGCCGUAAACGAUACUCGCUAGGUGUCGGCCACGGUGCGACCGUGGUCGGUGCCGUAGGGAAGCCGUGAAGCGAGCCACCUGGGAAGUACGGCCGCAAGGCUGAAACUUAAAGGAAUUGGCGGGGGAGC
rnacentral:rRNA from 1 species